AAAGAGCUCGUAGGUGGUUUGUCGCGUUGUCCGUGAAAUUCCCUGGCUUAACUGGGGGCGUGCGGGCGAUACGGGCAGACUGGAGUACUGCAGGGGAGACUGGAAUUCCUGGUGUAGCGGUGGAAUGCGCAGAUAUCAGGAGGAACACCGGUGGCGAAGGCGGGUCUCUGGGCAGUAACUGACGCUGAGGAGCGAAAGCGUGGGGAGCGAACAGGAUUAGAUACCCUUGU
rnacentral:rRNA from 1 species